rnacentral:rRNA from 1 species
GAGUUUGAUCCUGGCUCAGGAUGAACGCCGGCGGUCUGCUUAACACAUGCAAGUCGAACGGGCUCUUCGGAGCUAGUGGCGGACGGGUGAGUAACGCGUGAGAAUCUGCCUUCAGGUUGGGGACAACAGUUGGAAACGACUGCUAAUACCCAAUGUGCCGAGAGGUGAAAGCUUUAGUGCCUGAGGAUGAGCUCGCGUCUGAUUAGCUAGUUGGAGUGGUAAUGGCACACCAAGGCGACGAUCAGUAGCUGGUCUGAGAGGAUGGUCAGCCACACUGGGACUGAGACACGGCCCAGACUCCUACGGGAGGCAGCAGUGGGGAAUUUUCCGCAAUGGGCAAGCCUGACGGAGCAAGACCGCGUGAGGGAGGAAGGCUCUUGGGUUGUAAACCUCUUUUAUCAGGGAAGAAGAUCUGACGGUACCUGAUGAAUCAGCAUCGGCUAACUCCGUGCCAGCAGCCGCGGUAAUACGGAGGAUGCAAGCGUUAUCCGGAUUUAUUGGGCGUAAAGCGUCCGCAGGUGGUUUGACAAGUCUGCUGUUAAAGCGCAGAGCUUAACUCUGUAACGGCGGUGGAAACUGUCAGACUCGAGUAUGGUAGGGGUAGCGGGAAUUCCCAGUGUAGCGGUGAAAUGCGU